CGCGGCCUAUCAGCUUGUUGGUGAGGUAACGGCUCACCAAGGCAUCGACGGGUAGCUGGUCUGAGAGGACGAUCAGCCACACUGGGACUGAGACACGGCCCAGACUCCUACGGGAGGCAGCAGUAGGGAAUCUUGCGCAAUGGGCGAAAGCCUGACGCAGCAACGCCGCGUGGGGGAUGAAUGCCUUCGGGUUGUAAACCCCUUUCAGCAGGGACGAAAAUGACGGUACCUGCAGAAGAAGCUCCGGCCAACUACGUGCCAGCAGCCGCGGUAAUACGUAGGGAGCGAGCGUUGUCCGGAAUUAUUGGGCGUAAAGAGCUCGUAGGCGGUUCGGUAAGUCGGGUGUGAAAACUCAAGGCUCAACCUUGAGACGCCACUCGAUACUGCUGUGACUUGAGUCCGGUAGAGGAGUGUGGAAUUCCUGGUGUAGCGGUGAAAUGCGCAGAUAUCAGGAGGAACACCAGCGGCGAAGGCGGCACUCUGGGCCGGUACUGACGCUGAGGAGCGAAAGCAUGGGGAGCAAACAGGAUUAGAUACCCUGGUAGUCCACGCCGUAAACGUUGGGCACUAGGUGUGGGUCUCAACCAACGAGAUCCGCGCCGUCGCUAACGCAUUAAGUGCCCCGCCUGGGGAGUACGG
rnacentral:rRNA from 1 species